rnacentral:rRNA from 1 species
GACGAACGCUGGCGGCGUGCUUAACACAUGCAAGUCGAACGGAAAGGCCCUGCUUUUGUGGGGUGCUCGAGUGGCGAACGGGUGAGUAACACGUGAGUAACCUGCCCUUGACUUUGGGAUAACUUCAGGAAACUGGGGCUAAUAUCGGAUAUGAGCUCCUGCUGCAUGGUGGGGGUUGGAAAGUUUCGGCGGUUGGGGAUGGACUCGCGGCUUAUCAGCUUGUUGGUGGGGUAGUGGCUUACCAAGGCUUUGACGGGUAGCCGGCCUGAGAGGGUGACCGGCCACAUGGGGACUGGGGUACGGACCAGACUCCUACGGGAGGCAGUAGUGGAGAAUAUUGCGCAAUGGGCGGAAGCCUGAUGCAAAAACGCCGCGUGCGGGAUGACGGCCUUCGGGUUGUAAACCGCUUUCGCCUGUGACGAAGCGUGAGUGACGGUAAUGGGUAAAGAAGCACCGGCUAACUACGUG